GACGGCCACAUCACAUUGAAACACAGGUUCCCGUAAGAUCACCGUAGUUAAGCAACGUCGGACCUGGUCAGUACCUAGGUGACCACUUGGGAAUACGACGUUCUGUAAG